AACGAACGCUGGCGGCAGGCCUAACACAUGCAAGUCGAACGAGAUCUUCGGAUCUAGUGGCGGACGGGUUAGUAACGCGUGGGAACGUGCCUUUCACUACGGAAUAGUCCCGGGAAACUGGGUUUAAUACCGUAUACGCCCUUCGGGGGAAAGAAUUUCGGUGAAAGAUCGGCCCGCGUUAGAUUAGGUAGUUGGUGGGGUAAUGGCCUACCAAGCCUACGAUCUAUAGCUGGUUUUAGAGGAUGAUCAGCAACACUGGGACUGAGACACGGCCCAGACUCCUACGGGAGGCAGCAGUGGGGAAUCUUAGACAAUGGGGGAAACCCUGAUCUAGCCAUGCCGCGUGAGUGACGAAGGCCCUAGGGUCGUAAAGCUCUUUCGCCAGGGAUGAUAAUGACAGUACCUGGUAAAGAAACCCCGGCUAAC
rnacentral:rRNA from 1 species